rnacentral:rRNA from 1 species
AGAGUUUGAUCCUGGCUCAGAAUCAACGCUGGCGGCGUGCCUAACACAUGCAAGUCGAACGAGAAAGGGACUUCGGUCCUGAGUACAGUGGCGCACGAGUGAGUAACACGUGACUAACCUACCCUUGAGUGGGGGAUAACUUCGGGAAACCGAGGCUAAUACCGCAUAAUACCUACGGGUCAAAGGAGCAAUUCGCUUAAGGAGGGGGUCGCGGUCGAUUAGUUAGUUGGUAGGGUAAUGGCCUACCAAGACUGUGAUCGAUAUCCGGCCUGAGAGGGCGCACGGACACACUGGAACUGAAACACGGUCCAGACUCCUACGGGAGGCAGCAGUGGGGAAUUUUGCGCAAUGGGGGAAACCCUGACGCAGCAACGCCGCGUGGAGGAUGAAGUCUCUUGGGACGUAAACUCCUUUCGACCGGGACGAUAAUGACGGUACCGGAAGAAGAAGCCCCGGCUAACUUCGUGCCAGCAGCCGCGGUAAUACGAGGGGGGCGAGCGUUGUUCGGAAUUAUUGGGCGUAAAGGGUGCGUAGGCGGUCCGGCAAGUCUUGUGUGAAAUCUUCAGGCUCAACUUGAAGUCUGCAUAAGAAACUGCCGGGCUUGAGUAUGGGAGAGGUGAGUGGAAUUUCCGGUGUAGCGGUGAAAUGCGUAGAUAUCGGAAGGAACACCUGUGGCGAAAGCGGCUCACUGGACCAUAACUGACGCUGAGGCACGAAAGCUAGGGGAGCAAACAGGAUUAGAUACCCUGGUAGUCC